AACGAACGCUGGCGGCAGGCUUAACACAUGCAAGUCGAGCGCCCCGCAAGGGGAGCGGCAGACGGGUGAGUAACGCGUGGGAAUCUACCCAUCUCUACGGAAUAACGCAUGGAAACGUGUGCUAAUACCGUAUACGUCCUUCGGGAGAAAGAUUUAUCGGAGAUGGAUGAGCCCGCGUUGGAUUAGCUAGUUGGUGGGGUAAAGGACUACCAAGGCGACGAUCCAUAGCUGGUCUGAGAGGAUGAUCAGCCACACUGAGACUGAGACACGGCCCAGACUCCGACGGGAGGCAGCAGUUGGGAUUAUUGGACAAUGGUCACAAGCCUGAUCCAGCCAUGCCGCGUGAGUUAUGAAGGCCCUAGGGUUGUAAAGCUCUUUCACCGGUGAAGAUAAUGACAGUAACCGGAGAAGAAGCCCCGGCUAACUUCGUGCCAGCCGCCGCCGUAAUAC
rnacentral:rRNA from 1 species